rfam:Negativicoccus succinicivorans DORA_17_25 Q612_NSC00353, whole genome shotgun sequence.
UCGUGUCUUUGAGGCAAGGUGAGGGUCAAUUGACUCAAUUCCUGACCGGCGGUAAAGUCCGCAAGCGCAAGCUGAUUCGAUGAAAUUUCGAAACCGACAGUAUAGUCUGGCUGGGAAAGGACAAAA